UACGUAGGGUGCGAGCGUUGUCCGGAAUUAUUGGGCGUAAAGGGCUCGUAGGCGGUCUGUCACGUCGGGAGUGAAAACUCGGGGCUUAACUCCGAGCCUGCUUCUGAUACGGGCAGACUAGAGGUAUGCAGGGGAGAAUGGAAUUCUUGGUGUAGCGGUGAAAUGCGCAGAUAUCAGGAGGAACACCGGUGGCGAAGGCGGUUCUCUGGGCAUGACCUGACGCUGAGGAGCGAAAGUGUGGGGAGCGAACAGG
rnacentral:rRNA from 1 species